UCUACGGGAGGCAGCAGUGGGGAAUAUUGGACAAUGGGCGAAAGCCUGAUCCAGCCAUGCCGCGUGUGUGAAGAAGGUUUUCGGAUUGUAAAGCACUUUAAGUUGGGAGGAAGGGCAGUUACUUAAUACGUGAUUGUUUUGACGUUACCGACAGAAUAAGCACCGGCUAACUCUGUGCCAGCAGCCGCGGUAAUACAGAGGGUGCAAGCGUUAAUUGGAAUUACUGGGCGUAAAGCGCGCGUAGGUGGUUAGUUAAGUUGGAUGUGAAAUCCCCGGGCUCAACCUGGGAACUGCAUUCAAAACUGACUGACUAGAGUAUGGUAGAGGGUGGUGGAAUUUCCUGUGUAGCGGUGAAAUGCGUAGAUAUAGGAAGGAACACCAGUGGCGAAGGCGACCACCUGGACUGAUACUGACACUGAGGUACGAAAGCGUGAGGAGCAAACUGGAUUAGAUACCCUGGUAGUCUAAGCCCAAAAUACAGCAUAGUCGCAGCACUAAGGC
rnacentral:rRNA from 1 species